rnacentral:lncRNA from 10 species
AGAGGACUUCUGCACCGUUUCCCGAGGACAGUUUGGCAGUGUUUCAGAAGGGCCUUAGAACCAGGCAGGCCCCCUUCUAGGAUGGUGGAAAGCCUAAAGAUCUGAAAACGGUCUCAAGUGUCGUCUUAGCGAUUGGCUGACUAAACCGAAUGCAAGCCGGAGACUGCACACGAUGUUGCCGUUAACAGUUACACUGGGCCGGGCAGUCAGAGGCAGGCGGAUCACCUGAGGUCAGGAGUUCGAGAACAGCCUGGCCAACAUGGCAUGAAGAACUCUUGACUGACAGAAACGGAGGGUGUGUCCAAAGUUUUGAGGACGGCCGAGCGGCGCUCCAAAACCCGUCCUCACAGCCUCGCCCCGUUCGCCUCAGCUACAACAAAUCAUCGUCAACCUGUUCCACCUUCUCCAGUCUGGUAGCAAAAAGGGGUGUCUCAGGCCACUCUUCACCUCCACCAUGAGCCUGGACAUCCAGAGCCUGGA